CAAAAAAUAGUUUAUAAAAACAAAAACUUUGGGUGUUUUAGAUUUAGUUGUACUAAUUUUUUGA
rnacentral:tRNA from 1 species